UAGGGAAUCUUCGGCAAUGGACGAAAGUCUGACCGAGCAACGCCGCGUGAGUGAAGAAGGUUUUCGGAUCGUAAAACUCUGUUGUUAGAGAAGAACAAGGACGUUAGUAACUGAACGUCCCCUGACGGUAUCUAACCAGAAAGCCACGGCUAACUACGUGCCAGCAGCCGCGGUAAUACGUAGGUGGCAAGCGUUGUCCGGAUUUAUUGGGCGUAAAGCGAGCGCAGGCGGUUUCUUAAGUCUGAUGUGAAAGCCCCCGGCUCAACCGGGGAGGGUCAUUGGAAACUGGGAGACUGGAGUGCAGAAGAGGAGAGUGGAAUUCCAUGUGUAGCGGUGAAAUGCGUAGAUAUAUGGAGGAACACCAGUGGCGAAGGCGGCUCUCUGGUCUGUAACUGACGCUGAGGCGCGAAAGCGUGGGGAGCAAACAGG
rnacentral:rRNA from 1 species